AAGACUAUACUUUCAGGGAUCAUUUCUAUAGUUUGUUACUAGAGAAGUUUCUCUGAAUGUGUGGAGUACCGAAAACCACGAGGAAGAACUACCGCGUCCUGUCCUGAGCGUGAAACCGGCUUUCAGUGUUGCUUUUCUGCAACUACUAUUUGCCUCUGAUGAUCGUUCUUACUGUUCCUUUCGGAGAGUAAGAGGGAGAGGACGCAGUCUGAGUGGGU
ensembl:snoRNA